CUGCUUCAGCUUUAAUCACAACGAUUUCCCAUCAUCCUCAGAGAAUGUUCAACAAAUUCUUAAUGAAAUAAACCUAGGCGAUAGCUUGAGAUUGCAACAUUUGUCGUUCUUUCAAUAACGUCCCCUUGUUCUUCCUCCAUGUUUAUAAGAACACAUGAAAUAGAAAAAGAGUUGAAAUAUUUCAAAGAAAAGUGAUACAUUGAUUAUAACCAAGAUAAUUUUUUUUAUCUAAUUGGAAUAAAAAACUAAUAAAUCAAAAGAAGAAUUUUUAUAACAACUUAAGUAUAGUUUGUAGCUACCAUACCCAAAACUUCAUUUUGGUGACCACCAACUCGAAUGAAUAUCAAAAUGCAUAUUUCAGUAUGAAUAUUCCACAGCUGAACUAAUUCAUCUUACUUAAAUUUUAAAUUUAAACAUUUAAUAAAACAGUAAUCAAGUAAAUGCAAUAAUGCUUACUUGUUGACACUAUAAGUGGUGGCUUUAAUGAUUGAGUCUUGAUUUCAUUUAUGAAAUUCCCAUGAAGAGCAAAACUCUGUAAAUACACAUGCAUGAAGAGGUUAAAAUGAAAAAACUCAGGGUAAAAAAAAUGCAUAAAACUAUAGAUGCUAAAAUCGUUCACCUGUAUGCCACAAAAAAUGUAAGCAUAAUCAGUAACUAUAAAUCAGAAUAAACAUAAAAACAGAGAAAAAAAAUAAGAGAAACAUGAAACCAUUUACAUCGUUAUGAAAGAAUCAAAAUAUUGAGAAAUGAAAAGACAAAAUAGGGAUAUACUGAAACUUGUCACUGCUAAAGAAGGCACCAAAGUCUGAUAACAACAACCAAAAUGCACCGAAUCUAACCCACACAUGUUAAUAAAAAAUCACUAAAAAAUUUAUGAGUAAUAAAACUAAAAUAUCCAAAGAAAAAAACAAAUCCACAAAUGUAAAACAUUUGCAAGGCUUAAAACUCUAACCAAACAGUGCCGGAGAAAUGUAAAAACGAAAGAGGCGACAAAACCAAAGAGACAUCAAAGAAAGACACCAAAAUCAAACAAUCUCAAAACUUAAACCACCUGAAGAACCCAAAAUGUAUAAAACAGAUACAAAAACCAAGAAAAAUGCAAGGAAUUGAAACCAACACAAAUAUAGGGAAAACACAUCCAAACCAAAAGAUUUGAAAAUCUGAACCGGUUGAAAAAGUAAAAAGACUGCACAACUCAAAAAAUGUAACAAAUCCAAAUCAAUAGAAAAUAAUGGAUAAAAGAACAGAAGAGACGCCACAAUCGAAGAGAAGAAACCAAAAUACCAUA
rnacentral:lncRNA from 1 species